rnacentral:lncRNA from 1 species
UUUGAAAUUUUCGAUAAAAACAAACACCUUGACUACAAAGAUUCAAUACUCACACACGCGAAAUGAACUAAACAAGCUUGUAAAAGAUCAAUUUGAAAGACCUAACUGACUCCAAAACAACUUAACAGACUUAAAGAAAAAAACCGACUCAAGUAAAGAUCACUAAUACAUUACAGCCUUAAACACUCAUGAAGCUUUCGGGGUUUUUUUUGGUUUUGUUAUGGCUCGUCUGUAAGAUCCAACUGGAGCCUUUCCAAAUCUAUCAUCACUUGCUGAACGAACAUCAUGAUUGCCACAAGGAAAGUAGUUUGGGUCAUGUCUUCACAUAUUUGACAUUUUACCACAAUAUGCUCUGCAAUCGUUGUGACCCUCUCGCGGAUCCUACCUUUCUCCCGUAAUAAUCUCCAAUUUGUGUAGUUCUUGAUUCCACAACUUGUUUGGCUACAUGGCUUUGUUUUUGAAGGUGGUGCAAAUCCCUCUCUAGCCGUGCUAUUAAAGAAU